rnacentral:rRNA from 1 species
UACAGAGGUCUCAAGCGUUGUUCGGAUUCAUUGGGCGUAAAGGGUGCGUAGGUGGUGAUGCAAGUCUGGUGUGAAAUCUCGGAGCUCAACUCCGAAAUUGCACCGGAUACUGCGUGACUCGAGGACUGUAGAGGAGAUCGGAAUUCACGGUGUAGCGGUGAAAUGCGUAGAUAUCGUAAGGAAGACCAGUGGCGAAGGCGGGUCUCUGGACAGUUCCUGACGCUGAGGCACGAAGGCCAGGGGAGCAAACGGG